rnacentral:lncRNA from 1 species
CUGUGAGCAAGACAGACACAGCGCCUGCCCUCAAGGAGCGCGCAGUCGCCUUAUCAGAAAGAAUAAAACAGGAGUAGGAUGAACUAAAUACCCGUAAUUCCGGGAUAGAAGGUGGUAAAUGUUAUGAGAGCGGCAUAGAGCUUAAAGAAUGGAGACGUGACCUCCGACAGGGCGAACUGGGGACAGCCCCACGGAGGAGGUGGCGUUGGAGCUGGGCUCUGAGUGAGCUGGGCACUUGAGGAUGUCCAGCUUUCCUUCCAGCUGGAGGGAAGAAAAGAAUCAAAAGCAAGGAGUGGAAAUUGAGACUCAGCUGCCUACAAGCAUGUAAGGGGGGAAAAAAGAAGAAACCAUGAUCCCAUACUGAUAUUAAACAUAAAAUACGGUGUUUGCCAGAGGAAUGCGUCUGAGGGCUGUGUGUGGCCCUGCGUGCCAGGUCUGACCCUUGCACUAAGGAGGAGCAAGGAACAAUGAGUAGUUCAUCUGGUUAGAGAUAUGAGUGCACAAGACAAGCUAGGAAAUCGGGGUGAUGCAAGAUCAGCCUGGUCUUUGAGGAUCUUGAAUGUCACUCCAAGAGUCCGGAUUUGACCCUGUGGGCACCUGGGAGCCACUGAAGGUCUGUGAGCAGGAGAGAUGGUGAUCACAGUCCUGGCUCUGCAGAGCAGGAUAAUGCGUGGGAAGAACUUGACCCAAAGCCUGGAAGAGAGUCAGCCUGCAGGCGGUGUUGUCCAUGAUGAGGGUCAUUGCUGUGCAACGCGAAUGUGCCGGGAGCUGGCAAUUCUGUCUGCUGCUCAAAGCUCAGCAUUCAUUCUGACCUCCCACAGGUGGAGGCAGCGCUGGGGGAGGUUCGUAGCCC